UAGGGAAUCUUCCACAAUGGGCGAAAGCCUGAUGGAGCAACGCCGCGUGUGUGAUGAAGGGUUUCGGCUCGUAAAGCUCUGUUGUUAAAGAAGAACGUGGGUAAGAGUAACUGUUUACCCAGUGACGGUAUUUAACCAGAAAGCCACGGCUAACUACGUGCUAG
rnacentral:rRNA from 1 species